rnacentral:misc_RNA from 1 species
AACAUACCUAAACGUUGCCUCGGCGGGAACAGACGGCCCCGUGAAACGGGCCGCCCCCGCCAGAGGACCCCCUAACUCUGUUUCUAUAAUGUUUCUUCUGAGUAAAACAAGCAAAUAAAUUAAAACUUUCAACAACGGAUCUCUUGGCUCUGGCAUCGAUGAAGAACGCAGCGAAAUGCGAUAAGUAAUGUGAAUUGCAGAAUUCAGUGAAUCAUCGAAUCUUUGAACGCACAUUGCGCCCGCCAGUAUUCUGGCGGGCAUGCCUGUUCGAGCGUCAUUACAACCCUCAGGCCCCCGGGCCUGGCGUUGGGGAUCGGCGGAGCCCCCCGUGGGCACACGCCGUCCCCCAAAUACAGUGGCGGUCCCGCCGCAGCUUCCAUCGCGUAGUAGCUAACACCUCGCGACUGGAGAGCGGCGCGGCCACGCCGUAAAACACCCCAACUCUUCUGAA